CCUACGGGAGGCAGCAGUGGGGGAUAUUGCACAAUGGGGGGAACCCUGAUGCAGCGACGCCGCGUGGGUGAAGAAGCGCCUCGGCGCGUAAAGCCCUGUCAGCAGGGAAGAAAAUGACGGUACCUGAAGAAGAAACCCCGGCUAACUACGUGCCAGCAGCCGCGGGAAUACGUAGGGGGCAAGCGUGAUCCGGGUUUACUGGGUGUAAAGGGGGCGCAGACGGGGAUGCAAGCCAGGAGUGAAAGCCCGGGGCCCAACCCCGGGACUGCUCUUGGAACUGCGUGGCUGGAGUGCAGGAGGGGCAGGCGGAAUUCCUGGUGUAGCGGUGAAAUGCGUAGAUAUAAGGAGGAACACCGGUGGCGAAGGCGGUCUGCUGGACUGCAACUGACGUUGAGGCGCGAAAGCGUGGGGAGCAAACAGGAUUAGAUACCCGGGUAGUC
rnacentral:rRNA from 1 species